rnacentral:lncRNA from 13 species
AUGAAGGAGCGGAUCCAAGAAACAGGAGAAAUGUGUGCUGGGGCAGCAAAACCCAAAGGGAAUCCCAUCCCGUGCCAUAGUCAUCUCUGUAUCAUGGUGCUUGAUAUGGGAGAGAGGUCAACACAUUUUACGACAUUUGGUUUAGGAGAAAAUAUCAGAAUUUUGUCAUACUCUCAAAAUCAUUCCAUCUGUCUUUCUACCAUAGGCAGUAGCAGUCUGAAGGUGGAGACUGCGUCUGAUCCACGUACACAUCCUCCUGAUGCCGGCAUGCCACAGUCGUUCUGGAAAUAUUUACUGAAUGGAAGACCUGAACCUAGAGGAACAAGAUGCAGCAUUUUGGUAUUGCAGAGCUGGAAGGCACCUGAGGUGUUUCCAUAAGUGAUUAGCAUUUGAAUAGGAAGACUGAGUAAAGCCAGUGGCCUUCCUCUACGUACACAGGCGUCAUCCAAUCCAUCGGAUCGACCUUGAAUAGAACAAAAGAGUGGAGGAAGGAAGAAUUUUCUCUCUCUGCCUGACUGCUUGAGCUAGAACUUUGAUCUUCCGCCCUUACUGGGACUUACCAUCGACUUUCCUGGUUCUCGGAUCUUUGGACUUGGAGUGGAACUACACUAUUAGCUUUCCUGGGCCUCCAGCUUGUAAAUGGCAGACUGUGGGACUUCUCAGCCUCCAUAACAAUGUGAGC